GGGUUGUGAGGUUAAGCGACUAAGCGUACACGGUGGAUGCCCUGGCAGUCAGAGGCGAUGAAGGACGUGCUAAUCUGCGAUAAGCGCCGGUAAGGUGAUAUGAACCGUUAUAACCGGCGAUUUCCGAAUGGGGAAACCCAGUGUGAUUCGUCACACUAUCAUUAACUGAAUCCAUAGGUUAAUGAGGCGAACCGGGGGAACUGAAACAUCUAAGUACCCCGAGGAAAAGAAAUCAACCGAGAUUCCCCCAGUAGCGGCGAGCGAACGGGGAGGAGCCCAGAGCCUGAAUCAGUAUGUGUGUUAGUGGAAGCGUCUGGAAAGGCGCGCGAUACAGGGUGACAGCCCCGUACACAAAAGCGCAUAUGCUGUGAGCUCGAUGAGUAGGGCGGGACACGUGGUAUCCUGUCUGAAUAUGGGGGGACCAUCCUCCAAGGCUAAAUACUCCUGACUGACCGAUAGUGAACCAGUACCGUGAGGGAAAGGCGAAAAGAACCCCGGCGAGGGGAGUGAAAAAGAACCUGAAACCGUGUACGUACAAGCAGUGGGAGCCCCACCACUAAGCCAGUGGUGAACUCCACAUACGCAUCCUUUGCUGAGGAUACGGUUAACGGAGCGAAAGCGACGUUCAACCGCAAAAGAAGCAGAGGGGGCUUAGUGGUGGGGUGACUGCGUACCUUUUGUAUAAUGGGUCAGCGACUUAUAUUCUGUAGCAAGGUUAACCGUAUAGGGGAGCCG
rnacentral:rRNA from 1 species